AAUUAUCAGCAGGCCCAGUCUCGUCACCUGCGCUUAUCGUAUUUGGGGUCUCCACCCUUGAGGAGUGUCUCAGAUAAUACCCUGGUGGCCAUGGACUUCUCUGGCCAUGCUGGGCGUGUCAUUGAGAACCCCCAGGAAGCUCUGAGUGCUGCCACGGAGGAAGCCCAGGCCUGGAGGGUAAGGCCUUCACACACCUAUGCAUCUGCUGUACUGGCUCCCAAUGGGCGUUCGUGGAGGGAGGGAGGAAGGAAAAGGGCUUGGGGAUCCAGUGAAUGCCAAGGGCUCCUUGACUUCCAUGUCCUCCAUUGCAGAAGAAGACAAACCACCGUCUCAGCCUGCCCACCCCGUGCUCCGGCCUGAGCCUCAGUGCAGCUAUCCAUCGCACCCAGCCCUGGUUUCAUGGACGAAUCUCCCGGGAGGAGAGCCAGCGGCUAAUUGGACAGCAGGGCCUGGUGGAUGGGUAAGGGGCUGGGCUGGGCUGGGUAACAGACCUGGGGGCCGGAAAGUCCCUAGAGCAGUUGUAACCAGGAACCCCUGAUAAUGCUACUUUGUUUCCCCCACAGUGUAUUCCUGGUCCGGGAGAGCCAGCGGAACCCACAGGGCUUCGUUCUGUCUCUGUGCCAUCUGCAGAAAGUCAAACAUUAUCUCAUCUUGCCAGUGAGUAACUCCCCUACCCCUGAGCUAGGUUCUUGUAGCCCGGAGAUAUGAGACUUGAAGCCCCACUACGCACCUCCUUUCUCCCUGUACAAGAAACGGGGGUC
rnacentral:lncRNA from 1 species